UAUAGAGAAUCUAUUUUUUGUUGGUAAUAGGGAUAUAACCGACGGGGUGAAGUACUCGUAUGAGACCCUGAGGACCUUUGUAU
rnacentral:lncRNA from 11 species